rnacentral:rRNA from 1 species
GAUGAACGCUGGCGGCGUGCCUAAUACAUGCAAGUCGAACGCUGAAGGAAGGAGCUUGCUCUUUCCGGAUGAGUUGCGCACGGGUGAGUAACGCGUAGGUAACCUGCCUGGUAGCGGGGGAUAACUAUGGAAAACGAUAGCUAAUACCGCAUAACAGUAGAUUUUGCAUGACAACUAGUUGAAAGGGGCAAUUGCUCCACUACCAGAUGGACCUGCGUUGUAUUAGCUAGUUGGUGAGGUAACGGCGCACCAAGGCGAGGUUACAUAGCCGACCGGAGAGGGCGGGUAGCCGGCCUGGGAGGGAGACACGCCACAGAGGGACUCGGGAGGGAGCAGGAGUGCAACUUGGGGAAGGGGCGGAAGUCUGACCGAGAAACGCCGAGGGAGUGAAGAACGUCGUCGGGUCGGAAAGGUCGGUUGUAGGGGAAUAAAGAGCGUGAGAGUGGAAAGUACCCAGUGUGACGGUAACGGAUCAGGAAGCAACGGCUAACUACGUG